rnacentral:rRNA from 1 species
AUGAUAAAAAUUAGUGGCAGACGGGUGAGUAAUGCAUAGGAAUCUACCUAGUAGUAUGGGAUAGCCACUAGAAAUGGUGGGUAAUACUGUAUAAUCCCUGCGGGGGAAAGAUUUAUCGCUAUUAGAUGAGCCUAUGUUAGAUUAGCUAGUUGGUAGGGUAAAGGCCUACCAAGGCAGUGAUCUAUAGCUGGUCUGAGAGGAUGAUCAGCCACACUGGAACUGAGAUACGGUCCAGACUCCUACGGGAGGCAGCAGUGGGGAAUAUUGGACAAUGGGCGCAAGCCUGAUCCAGCUAUGCCGCGUGAGUGAGGAAGGCCUUAGGGUUGUAAAACUCUUUCAGUGGGGAAGAUAAUGACGGUACCCACAGAAGAAGUCCCGGCAAACUCCGUGCCAGCAGCCGCGGUAAUACGGAGGGGGCAAGCGUUGUUCGGAAUUAUUGGGCGUAAAGGGCAUGUAGGCGGUUCGGUAAGUUAAAGGUGAAAUGCCAGGG